rnacentral:rRNA from 1 species
GAGUUUGAUCCUGGCUCAGAACGUACGCUGGCGGCACGCCUAACACAUGCAAGUCGAACGAAGUAGCAAUACUUAGUGGCAGACGGGUGAGUAACAUGUAGGUAUCUACCCUUUGGCCUGGAAUAACACGAGGAAACUUGUGCUAAUACUGGAUAAGUCUUUACGGAGAAAGCUUUAUGCACCAUUGGAUGAGCCUGCACUUGAUUAGUUUGUUGGUGGGGUAAUGGCCUACCAAGACUGUGAUCAAUAGCUGAUUUGAGAGGAUGAUCAGCCACAUUGGGACUGAGACACGGCCCAAACUCCUACGGGAGGCAGCAGUGGGGAAUCUUGCACAAUGGAGGAAACUCUGAUGCAGCGAUGCCGCGUGAGUGAAGAAGGCCUUUGGGUUGUAAAGCUCUUUCGUCGGGGAAGAAAAUGACUGUACCCGAAUAAGAAGGUCCGGCUAACUUCGUGCCAGCAGCCGCGGUAAUACGAAGRGACCUAGCGUAGUUCGGAAUUACUGGGCUUAAAGAGUUCGUAGGUGGUUGAAAAAGUUAGUGGUGAAAUCCCAGAGCUUAACUCUGGAACUGCCAUUAAAACUUUUCAGCUAGAGUAUGAUAGAGGAAAGCAGAAUUUCUAGUGUAGAGGUGAAAUUCGUAGAUAUUAGAAAGAAUACCAAUUGCGAAGGCAGCUUUCUGGAUCAUUACUGACACUGAGGAACGAAAGCAUGGGUAGCGAAGAGGAUUAGAUACCCUCGUAGUCCAUGCCGUAAACGAUGUGUGUUAGACGUUGGAAAUUUAUUUUCAGUGUCGCAGCGAAAGCGAUAAACACACCGCCUGGGGAGUACGACCGCAAGGUUAAAACUCAAAUGAAUUGACGGGGACCCGCACAAGUAGUGGAGCAUGUGGUUUAAUUCGAAGAUACGCGCAGAACCUUACCAACACUUGACAUGUUCGUCGCGACUCUAAGAGAUUAGAGUUUUCGGUUCGGCCGGACGAAACACAGGUGCUGCAUGGCUGUCGUCAGCUCGUGUCGUGAGAUGUUGGGUUAAGUCCCGCAACGAGCGCAACCCACGUCUUUAGUUGCCAGCAUUUAGUUGGGCACUCUAGAGAGACCGCCGGUGAUAAACCGGAGGAAGGUGUGGAUGACGUCAAGUCAUCAUGCCCCUUACAUCCUGGGCUACACACGUACUACAAUGCUACGGACAAAGAGCAGCAAGUUCGCGAGGACAAGCAAAUCUCAUAAACCGUGGCUCAGUUCAGAUCGUAGGCUGCAACUCGCCUACGUGAAGGAGGAAUCGCUAGUAAUCGCAGGUCAGCAUACUGCGGUGAAUAUGUUCCCGGGCCUUGUACACACCGCCCGUCACACCAUGGAAGUUGGCCACGCCCGAAGCCGUUACUCCAACCCUCGGGAGGAGGACGUCGAAGGUGGGGCUGAUGACUGGGGUGAAGUCGUAACAAGGUAGCCGUA